rnacentral:rRNA from 1 species
CGGCAGCAUGAUCUANCUGGCUCGAUUGAUGGCGAGUGGCGAACGGGUGAGUAAUACAUCGGAACGUGCCCUGUAGUGGGGGAUAACUAGUCGAAAGAUUAGCUAAUACCGCAACGACCUGAGGGUGAAAGUGGGGGACCGCAAGGCCUCAUGCUAUAGGAGCGGCCGAUGUCUGAUUAGCUAGUUGGUGGGGUAAAGGCCCACCAAGGCGACGAUGAGUAGCUGGUCUGAGAGGACGAUCAGCCACACUGGGACUGAGACACGGCCCAGACUCCUACGGGAGGCAGCAGUGGGGAAUUUUGGACAAUGGGCGAAAGCCUGAUCCAGCAAUGCCGCGUGUGUGAAGAAGGCCUUCGGGUUGUAAAGCACUUUUGUCCGGAAAGAAAUGGCUCUGGUUAAUACCUGGGGUCGAUGACGGUACCGGAAGAAUAAGGACCGGCUAACUACGUGCCAGCAGCCGCGGUAAUACGUAGGGUCCAAGCGUUAAUCGGAAUUACUGGGCGUAAAGCGUGCGCAGGCGGUUGUGCAAGACCGAUGUGAAAUCCCCGAGCUUAACUUGGGAAUUGCAUUGGUGACUGCACGGCUAGAGUGUGUCAGAGGGGGGUAGAAUUCACGUGUAGCAGUGAAAUGCGUAGAGAUGUGGAGGAAUACCGAUGGCGAAGGCAGCCCCUUGGGAUAACACUGACGCUCAUGCACGAAGCGUGGGGAGCAAACAGGAUAGAUACCCUGGUAGUCCCACGCCCUAAACGAUGUCAACUAGUUGUUGGGGAUUCAUUUCCUUAGUAACGUAGCUAACGCGUGAAGUUGACCGCCUGGGGAGUACGGUCGCAAGAUUAAAACUCAAAGGAAUUGACGGGGACCCGCACAAGCGGUGGAUGAUGUGGAUUAAUUCGAUGCAACGCGAAAAACCUUACCUACCCUUGACAUGCCACUAACGAAGCAGAGAUGCAUUAGGUGCUCGAAAGAGAAAGUGGACACAGGUGCUGCAUGGCUGUCGUCAGCUCGUGUCGUGAGAUGUUGGGUUAAGUCCCGCAACGAGCGCAACCCUUGUCUCUAGUUGCUACGAAAGGGCACUCUAGAGAGACUGCCGGUGACAAACCGGAGGAAGGUGGGGAUGACGUCAAGUCCUCAUGGCCCUUAUGGGUAGGGCUUCACACGUCAUACAAUGGUGCAUACAGAGGGUUGCCAAGCCGCGAGGUGGAGCUAAUCCCAGAAAAUGCAUCGUAGUCCGGAUCGUAGUCUGCAACUCGACUACGUGAAGCUGGAAUCGCUUGUAAUCGCGGAUCAGCAUGCCGCGGUGAAUACGUUCCCGGGUCUUGUACACACCGCCCGUCACACCAUGGGAGUGGGCUUUUUCAGAAGUACUUAGCCUAACCGCAAGCAGCGCGUUACCCCGUAGAGUUCCCCCCCC